AACUUGUAUCCUUUUCUGUACUAGCUUAAAAAAAAAAAAAAAAAAAAGAGGGGGCUACACUGAACUAGUAAACAAAAGCGGGGCACCGUACUAUUAGUAGGGCUGUAAUUUCAUGCCUUUUAAAAUUUGAGAUCUAUUGCUUUAGGUUUCAACUUUCAAAAGUUUAAUUAAUAAAAACUGCAUCUGUUUUGAUUUUCACUAGUUAAAUCUAAUGAAUCUCAAUGUGGCUCAAAGAAAACAAAGAAAGUUGUAAAGACACUGAAAAUGCAGGAAAAUUACAUCAUGAAUAUCUUCAGGAAGGUGGAAGUAAAAACUUCCUCCCACCGUUGUUUUUGUUUCCCUGGUCAACACAUAUGCUAGUCACAAAGUGUACUGCAUGAAGCGCAAACUGCAGGUGUUGUACUACAGGCUCCCAGAAAGGUUUUCAUUAUUGGGUGUUUUCAUUCUGUGCUUAUUAUACAGAUUAACAUGAACUCAUAGACAUUUUUUAGAGCAAGAAAACCCAAAGACAGACUAAGGAGUAGAAAGAUGUAAAUAAUAUAGACAACUCCUAUUUACAGGACAUCAAAAAAUGGCUAGCUACAAAUUCCACUGGAUACUGAGUUUCAUUGAAUAGCAUGAAAUCUUUCCAGUCUGCUCAAAUCAGUAGGCAGUGGUUCAAGGCACUUCAGAUAAAGGCUCUUUAAAGACACAGUAUUACAGGUAGUGGUAGGAGUGACUUUGGGCAUGAAUUCUUCCCUCCCUUUCUCCAUAUCUUUUAUGAAGUUGUUAAAAUACAUAGUUCUUCACAGUGUGCUAUGGAGAGCAUGCUAGACUGCAAGACAUGUUUUGAGAUAAAGCAAUAAUCCAUAUGAAAUUGGAUGGACUAAAUGAACAUGUGAAGAAUGACCAGGAUGAGAAUGAUGAGUCCUGAGAAGAUCAGAUUAGCAAUAAUAGUCACAAUUCUGAAGUCAGUCAGAAAACAGGAAGGCACAUCUUGAAUUUUUGUAAUGAAAAAGGAAAGAAAAGUCAUUAAUAAAUGCUAUAGGAAUAUACAUUACUGUAUUUGCUAAUGCCAUUCCCUCCGGUAUUCUCUAUUUUAGGAAAGGAAUAAAACUGCUGUUGGGAAACCAGGAAAAAGGCAAUGCUACCUUUCAGUGACAGAGCACUUUUGGAGCAUCUUCUGGAUCUAAAAUUCCGUCUUAGACAAUUUGAAGGUUUCUGUGCCAUUUAUAAACAGGUUUAGACAUACGGAAACUGGUAUUCUUUCCCUGUUAUCAGAGCCUGUUGCUUCCUGCACAACUUUGUUUUUAACAGAUUUGAAGUGAAGAAGACAACUUUCAUAAAAUGUCCCUUUGCGGACAGGGAAAGCACAGCUAAGGAUUUUCUCACAAGUCUUAAAAAUUUCCUAAGCUCUGCGUUGAGCUAACAUUUCCACAAACAAAGCAAAGUUUAUCUCCUAAUAGAACUACAAAUUCAGUUGUAAUCAACAUAUGAAAGUAAGACAGCAUAAACACAAGUGUACCAACAAUGGAGAGGCAGCAAUGAAAUUCACUGUCAGGGAGACAGGAAAAGAAGAAAAAUGGAAAAGAAGCCAGGAAAGAGAGGGUGGAGACCUUUUUCUGGCACACUCACUGUUGUACACUUGCCAAAGGAGGCAGCUAUUUUGAUCACGCAGUAGGUGAGAGCACAAGAAUAUGAAAAGGAUCCUUGCUCUCAUAAAUGCAAGCUGAUGGCAGACGGUCUCAAAUGAGGAAGAAAACACCGUUAUUUAUCACAGAAAAGUAUGGCAGCAUCCGAAUUGGUUGAGAGUCAACUGUAUGCUGGAAUCUGAAGAGCUGGAAUAGAAAACCAAACUGUGGUCCAUAAGGCAUUUGCCUGCUGUCUGGCAUUUCUGCAUGUAGAACAAGGACAGCUUUAAAUAGCAGUAGAGAGAACAAAGCCUCGUGUGAUCAGCAUGUGCUCUUGCAUCAGAUACUCUUGAAUCAGAUACUCCACAGCACUUUGCUACAGACAGGAUUAUCAGGUAAGGGGGGACAUUGUGUACAGACCAGACAUACCGUCAAGUACGAUUGAUUUAUUUCCUCUUUGCUAUUUCAAUCUCAAAACCACAGUUAGUUCUAUAACUUUUUGUAGCUGAGUGCAUAAGUAUAUGCAUAAGAGUAUGCAUAAGAGAAAACUGAUAGAAAACUAAUGAACUUUACUUCCUCUGUUGUUGUUCACAGCACCUUUUGCUACAGCUUUCCAGAAAAAUAGGUAUACCCACACAUACAGGUUCAACUUUGAAAAGAAGGAAAGCUGACACAAAAGUUUAAGAAAAUUCUAAGAUAUAAAAAUACCUUUCAGAAACUGAAUGCUUACACAAGCUGCUUAUGCCUUCCAGCCACAAAGUAAAUGAUUAAAUAAAGGCACAAGCUAUACCAACAGUAAAUAGAAGUGCAAUGCUGUAGCAACAAUGUACAAUAGUGCCAAAUAACCAACAUAGUAAGCAGCUGCUGUUGAUGACUGUGCUGUGUGGAUACACUUCAGCCAUUUACACUGGGCCCAUGGGUCAGAGUCUCUGACUUAACUGGCAGUGAGACUCAAACACAGCAGGCACACGGGUUAAGAAAAAUAGUUCGCUCUUGCAUGCGUGCACACAACGUUUUCAUUCCAACCCCUUGAACAUAAAUUGCAGAUAAAAGUUGAUUUAUUUUAGUAUCAAUUACCUAUUGAAUUGAUAAAAGAGCUAUAGCACUGAGAACUAAAUUUGCUGAUUUUGUAUGAUUCUGUCAAUAUUUGAUCUUGAUAUUACGCAUUUUUAAGAUUAAGCUACCAAGCUAACAUAUCUGAAGUCUUCUUAAACACUGAACUAUCACUCUGUCUGUAUCUCUCUUGCCCCAUUCCGGCUCUCCUUUCGUUUUCCCCAAGAAUGUUUAAGAGAGGCUUGUCUGAAAAUAGAGUUUAAUGCAACAAUAAAUUACUUUUAGUUGAAGUUCUGAAGCAGGAAUUAGGCCUAUGGGCCAAAACAUGUUCUUGAUCAUCAGUUUAUAUAACCUCACACUGCAAUACUCCAGCCAGAAAAAUAAACACUUCUCCCACCCCCACAGCUUGCCAUUUCUCUGGUAUGAUUUUUCCUGCCUCUGGAACAUUUAUAUUCAGAAUGUACAUAAACACACAGACUGUAAGUGUAUAUACAUCCUCUUUAGUAAGAAAAAGAAUUCGUAACUUCUUAACUUGUUAAGAAUAUAUCAGAAGAAAAGCGGUAUAAAAAAAGGAAUAAAAAUAAUAAUAAAAACAACCAACAAUGUGACUUCCUGCCUUUGGAAGACUGUUUCCACUUACUCCGUAUGUACCACUCUUGAAAAGUAUUCAAAAUGAAAGCAAGAUUUAUGAAAUCCAGUCCUGAUGUGUGGGGAAAAGGAUCGCUUUCCCUUUCGCAAAGAGGAGGUAGAUAUGUGUGAAAAGGUGAAAAACAGAAACAAGCAUUAAAAUAAAACCAGAGAACCUACAGAUUAAAAGUAAGCAGGAGAACGGCCAACAAAUAAAAUGUAAGAGGAACAGACAACAAAUAAGGGCAUUGCAGACAAUGAGUUUUCAAAAAAAGAUUAAGUAUGAAAUUGAUGAACUACUGAUUGUUGUUCACAGCUUUUCACAACAGCUGGUAACAUAAAUGAAAGGCAGCUUAAUGUAAACUAUUAGUAAGGGCUCCAUUGUUAUUUAACUACAGACAGCAGGUAUGAAUCCUGUAACAAACAACUGAUAAAGAAUAUAAUAUAGAAUUCUGAUAUAUUGGGCAUUGCCAGUGUGUCCAGAGGACAGAAGAAUCACGCUCCACACCUUUACAAAGGAAGUGUAGUUUUCCUGAAAUAAUCAAUUAGCUUGUGGAAAAGUGACUUAAUUAAUAGUUUGUACUAGAAAAGCUUUCAAAAACUCACCUACCAAAACUACUACAGCAGUUAAGUUCUUAUAAGAGGGAAAGGCCUCUCAACGAUCAACAGCAAAUUAAAAAUAAAAUAAUUUUUAAAAAAGGUGAGAAGCUAUUGAACGAUUCCCACAGAAAUGAUGGCUGAGAUACAUGGCAACAUUUUCAUUAAAAUAAAUUCACAGAAUUAAAAAAAAAAAAAUCAAAAAAGUGAAAGGAUAACAAGGGACCAGAGUUGACUACCGAAGCAAGCUGUUUAAGAUAGUUGAAUUUAAGUUUGAACAAAAUGAGAUACAGAAGAAGCUUAUUAAGUGUCUAAUUUGUUUCACCACUUGAUUAGCCAUUUAUUAACAGCAAAUGAACACACAAGAACAACUUGAGCUACAGGAACCCAACAAUAGAAACAGCUCAUAAAAAAGAUGUGCAGGAAAGUGAUUGUUCUUGGGUCAUCUAGUAGAAAACACAACCAGAAUGCCAGAAGUUAUCAGGAGAUGAAAAGUAUGUCACUGUAAGUCCUUAUUUUGACUGUAUCGUGUGAGCCCUAUAUAGUAAAUUUUGGCCAACAUAUUCAGAAAGAGUAUACAUUGAAGCUUGGAAAGCUAUACAGAAAGCUAUCCAGUACAAACACAAUUAUACAAUGGCUUUCACACAAGGAGAGAUGUGAGGAACUACAGCUCAACUGAAAUGAGAAGCAAUAAAUAACAGUCAGGAAGAUUUUGUGUACGCACAAGAAGGUUGAAAAGAGAAGAUGGAAAAGAGCAUAUCGAGAGAUUUAACUAUAAAUACCAGGAAGAAAGAUUUAUUACAUUUCAUAGCAGCUGCCCUGUCCUUACUAGGUGGAUUUUUUUUUUUCUCUCAUUAUUUUAAAAAUGAUAAAGGUGUGGUUAAGACACAGCUACAUGACAUUGUGAAAGCUGAAAGCAUAAAAUGAUUCAAAGGGAUGUUCAGAGGUCUGAUCUGAAAACAGAUGGUCAGAGGUAAACUUGGCUACAGCAGCCUCUAGCCAUAGUCUGGAAGCCAAGAGUUCUGCUAAAGGAAGGCUCUUUUAUAUGCAGACUAUUCUUAAACCCCUUUCAAAACUAAUAACAACCACUAUUAGAAACUAAAUAUUAGAUUACAUGUACCUAUAAUCUGACCUGUUCAUCUGUUUUGACACUCUGCUUUGAAUUUGAACACUCUCCUUACUGUUCAGCAGCAAGUACUUACUUUAAAAGCAAUGCCACAUAACGUUCCAUGCUAUGUGUUCCCAUCAAGGAAUAUUUAUACAUUUAUUUAAUCAUUUCAGCAGGUGUUGGGUUUUAACUCAAACUGCAGUGCUGGGCAGAUAAAGAACUUAGCCCUGCCACAAACCAGCUUUCAAUUUCCAGUACCCUUCUGUUUAUAUCAUCAUCUCAUGUCUGUCUAUGGAGCAAUAUCUAGACUAACCCUUGACAA